rnacentral:rRNA from 2 species
UGCGACCUCAGAGCAGGUGAGACUACCCGCUGAAU